rnacentral:rRNA from 1 species
AGAGUUUGAUCAUGGCUCAGAUUGAACGCUGGCGGCGUGCUUAACACAUGCAAGUCGAGCGAGAAAGUUCUCUUCGGAGAAUGAGUAGAGCGGCGCACGGGUGAGUAACGCGUGGGUAAUCUGCCCUGAAGAUCGGGAUAACAGUUGGAAACGACUGCUAAUACCGGAUAUCCUGCAUAUUUAACUUUAUGUGGAAAAGAUGGCCUCUGUUUCAAGCUAUUGCUUCAGGAUGAGCCCGCGUCUCAUUAGAUAGUUGGUGGGGUAAUGGCCUACCAAGUCAACGAUGAGUAGCUGGUCUGAGAGGAUGAUCAGCCACACUGGGACUGAAACACGGCCCAGACUCCUACGGGAGGCAGCAGUGGGGAAUAUUGCGCAAUGGGGGAAACCCUGACGCAGCGACGCCGCGUGCGGGAAGAAGGCUUUCGGGUCGUAAACCGCUGUCAGGAGGGAAGAAACUGUUUAGUCAUAAUACGGCUAUUCACUGACGGUACCUCCAGAGGAAGCACCGGCUAACUCCGUGCCAGCAGCCGCGGUAAUACGGAGGGUGCGAGCGUUAAUCGGAAUCACUGGGCGUAAAGCGUGCGUAGGCG